rnacentral:tRNA from 1 species
AAGGAAGACCGAAAAUGAUAAGUACUGCUAACACUUAAAAACCAUGGUUAAACUCCGUGGCUUCUUAG